UACGAAGGGGGCUAGCGUUGCUCGGAAUCACUGGGCGUAAAGCGCACGUAGGCGGAUUGUUAAGUCAGGGGUGAAAUCCUGGAGCUCAACUCCAGAACUGCCUUUGAUACUGGCGAUCUCGAGUCCGGGAGAGGUGAGUGGAACUGCGAGUGUAGAGGUGAAAUUCGUAGAUAUUCGCAAGAACACCAGUGGCGAAGGCGGCUCACUGGCCCGAUACUGACGCUGAGGCGCGAAAGCGUGGGGAGGCAAACAGG
rnacentral:rRNA from 1 species